rnacentral:siRNA from 1 species
UGUGACACUUGGAAGCCUAGUGAA